rnacentral:miRNA from 1 species
CAUGAUGAUGAGAAUUUGU